UACGUAGGGUGCGAGCGUUGUCCGGAAUUAUUGGGCGUAAAGAGCUCGUAGGCGGUUUGUCGCGUCUGGUGUGAAAACUCGAGGCUCAACCUCGAGCUUGCAUCGGGUACGGGCAGACUAGAGUGCGGUAGGGGAGACUGGAAUUCCUGGUGUAGCGGUGGAAUGCGCAGAUAUCAGGAGGAACACCGAUGGCGAAGGCAGGUCUCUGGGCCGCAACUGACGCUGAGGAGCGAAAGCAUGGGGAGCGAACAGG
rnacentral:rRNA from 1 species